rnacentral:lncRNA from 1 species
UCGCCAUGGAGACGCAGAAGCCACGGUUGGAGAAAAAGAUGUCAGAAAGAGAGCUAACUUAGCAGUUAGCUAGUUUAAAGUUUCUGUGUUAGAAAAACUCGGUGUUUUUUGUGUUUAUUAAGUGAACUGAGGCGUCGGGCAGUGUCUGUUUACCUAUUUAACUGGUUCUGAGCUGUAUUUGCCCUCUAACGUCGAGCUUUCUACUCUAAACUUGGACAUUUCCACUGGGCUAGCUGGCUAAGUUAGCUAGCUAACGCUAACUAGCGCUAACCAGCUUUAUGGAGCUGUAGGGAGUGUUAAAUGCCAUACAGAGGACAGUUGGAGCAAGAGCUGACAGAUUCAUUUCACUCCCAGCGGAAAUAACACAGCUGGACGGACGGAGAACUUGAACCUGCUGCUGUCAGCUGAGAGAGCUGCUGGUUAAGGUGGUGCGGAACUGAGAGAGCUGCUGGUUAAGGUGGUGCCGGACUGGGCGCUGCUGGUUAAGGUGGUGCGGAGCUGAGACAGGUGCUAGUUAAGGUCGUGCGGAGAUGGGCUGCUGCUGAGAGCUGAUUGUCUGAGCGCGCUGCACUGACUGAGGAUGCUGCGAGUGAUUAAAGCUACCAUCAGGCUCCCAAUAAAAGUGCAGCAGGAGGAGGUGGAGGGGGCAGGGUGUGAAACAGAGAGGCAAAACCUGCUACCAGCAAUAAACACCACGACAAAUGGAGGAAGAGCAAGAGGAAAAGCAAAAAAAACAAAAAAAAAGAGAUAAAAAGCAGAGGAGGAAACAAUGGAAAUAUUCCGCCCCUGCUGUCUUCAAAUAAAUGAUGUAGGGAAGUGUUGUUAAUAUUGUAU